CUCCAGCUCUCGGCUGCGGCGUGGCUUGGCCGGGCCAUUUCGCGGCUGCCGGCGGUGGCGCGGUGCCCCGCUCCGAGGGCUCUGGCGAUCCGUGCCGGAGAGUAGCGCCCGCCCGGCUGCAGGGGCGGCCGCACCAGCCGUUGUGUCAUUGCAGCGCCCCAACCGGCCCAAACCGGCUCAAACCGGCCCAAGCCGGAUCUGCUUCCCUCUUCCCCAGUGUUCUCUUCUCCCGCCUCCUCCUCCUUCUCUCUCCCCCCUCGCCCUGGCCUCCAUUUCAGAGGCACCGCGAACUUGUGCUCCCCUGCGGCUUCCCCACAGCCCGGCACGGCCUCCCGCCACUGCUCUGUGCCUGUGGGGCUGCUGCUGCUCCUGAAUCCAUGCAUGUCGUCUUUGUCCUGGCCUCCUAACCACAUUUCUAUUUCCUUCAGAGUGAGGGAAGUACUUUAUUUUGAAAAUCUGGGGUUUUUCCACUUACGAAAGAAAUAAGCAGAACAAGCUUUUCUGUUUUUGGCGAAAGCUGACUCUGCUUGGAGAUGGUGGUCUUGUGGCGCUCCCCAUCCCUUGUUCCUCUGCAGUUAUGCAGCUUUCGUUCCUGCUUGCCCCAUCCAUGCUUGGAUGUGACAUUUUGCUUCCUUUGCACAGGACCCUAGCUGCUCUGUUCUUUUUUAUCACUGACUUACAAGCAGUGUGUUUCCAUGGCCAGCUGCCACCAUGGCAAAGAAAGGCCUCCCGGUGCCUGCCCAUUUUCCCCAGUCACUCCCGUUAGUACAGGAGACAAACCUGGGCGUUCCCCCUUCUGGUCCAUGCAGAUACCAGGAAGACAAGCACACCCUGUCUAUUGUUAGGUCAUCACUGCGGAAAACACUGUUUCUUCUCCCUCCACCAACACAUUCCCCAUUUUUAGAAGUUAAAGGAAUUUGGCCUACUCCAUGUUGGACAGAAUCUUGUGUGGAGGUUUGACUUGCAGUUCCUCCAGCAGCAUCUGGAGCAGAACCAAGACAGCACUCCUCCCCCUGGAGGUGCCAUGGGAUGUCUCUUAGCUAUAUGGAGGCAGUGCAACUGGCUCAACUGGCUGGCGCAACUCUGUGGCUGAGUGGUAUUGUCAGGCAUGAUUGUAUGCCAUGCUGGAGUGGUAAAUGUGCAUGAGUUUUAGGUAGCUCUUCUGCACUUUUGCCAGUUUCAAUGCAAAGUUUGCUUUUAGACCUCCAUGCUUCUGAAGGCAUUGAGGCAGCAACACACCUGAGGGGGAGGAGUAGGUAUAUAUGUAUGCCACUCACUCCCCUGGCUUUGGUUUCAUCUUCAGUUGAAUAGAUCUAGCCAGCAGCUGCUGUUGCCGAAGAUAUUCCCCACUUUCACCUGUGCUAGCUUUGGUAUUUGUCAGAUAUCUCCUAAACCAAUUUAGUUCACUGACAUUCUAGAUGCUACUUCCAUCCUCCAAGGGAAAUGUUCUGCCAGAUCCAUGAGUUUAGCUGGCUCACCAGAGUCGAGAAAAAUCCUGCAAUCAACUGGAGAGGAGGUCUGCUACACAAGUGGGUAUAGCAAAUGAGUAAACAACCCUGUUUAUGGCAGCAAGCCAUGGCAAACAAGGUUAAUUUGUUUCACUGUCAACCCCUUUGUGAACAAUUCCUCCUUCAGGAGGAGAGGCAACCACGUGUACCUGCAUCUGAAUCUCUGGAAGUAAAACAUUUAUUAUCCUUAGGGGUAUAAGGACUAGAUGUAAAGAUUACUCCCACAGGCCUUUCACAACUGUGUCUGCAUGUAAAUAUAUGUGUAUUGUUUUUAAGGACGGCACAAAAACCAGGCAAAAAUCUUGUUGCUAUGUUGUGACAAACGUUUGCAGAGUACAGGGAUUCUUGAAGUAAAUUUUUCACUGUCAUCUAUGAGCCAACCGCUCCCAUGCUCCCCAUCCACAGCAGCAUGGUGGACAGUGUUGAGCAAGAUAUUCAGUAGUUGCUGCAGUGCAGCUGCUGCAUGAGCUCUGGGUGGCAGGAAGUGGUUGGAGCACCAGACAAAAGACUGUGAACUGGUGCCAACUGUUUGCACUACAGAGAGUACAGGGAACCUGUGGCCCAGCCAGCUGACCACUCAGAGACACAGCAGGAGCCAAGGUCUCAUCUAGAAGACCCUAGACCAUCAUGCAUAGGGUGAGUGUGUAAAAAAAACAGGGCUUCCUUUGUUUGUGGUCUCACCUCACAGGACCAGUUCAAGUUCUUUUUGCAUUACUGUACCAGGUAGAAGACUUUGCAUUUUUUUUUGUGAACUUCAUGAAGUUUCUUUUGAUUUAUUUUUCCAGUUUGUCAGGACUACUGCUGAGUGACAACCCAAUUCAUCAAGUACAUUGACCUCUACUUUUCCAGUUUUCUGGCUGCAACAUGACAAUUCUCUUCACCAGCUGCAGUGUUUUACAGAAGGCUGUUUACACACUAUUCUCACUGCCUGCUGGUGGAGGAGACACCACUAUUCACAGAAUGACCUGACAAGAAAUUUUUGUGUGUGCAAACUUGCACAUAUACAUGCAUACUAACACACACACACACAACCAAGUUAAGCCUGAAAAAAAGCAGAAUUAAUGGAAUUCAUUACACGGUGGUGGUUUGCAGUUAUGCUGCAUAUUUCAAGGACUUCCUGCUCCAGGAGUAGAGGAAUGCUGCAUUACAAAACACGUGGUUCCUUGACUAGCUGUAAAACAAAUGAUUUAAGAGAAAAAGGGAAAUAAAAUCUUACUCUCAUCUCACAGGAAGGAUGUGUGUAAACAACUGUCUUCUAGAAGGGGCUAGCACAUUUGUGUAAAGUACUGCUUCCCCUUCCCCACCUGUGCCAUUGCCUUCAGCUCUCAUGCCAAAAGAAAAUACUUGCAUUUUCACAUUUUUUCUUACAGUUUAAAGUAUCCUCUCAUUUUCACACCUUAUUUAUAAUUUUUGAAUGUUGGCAGGCCUGGCUGUGGCUCUGGAAGGCCACUCCAACAAAGAGAAAGUCAGUGCUCUGCCUCUCUUUCCUGUUCCCUUGCACUCUCUCCCUGGUUUCCUUAAAAAAAACAGGUCAGAGUGUCUCAGAAAAAUUUUAGGGAAGUGGUUUAAGUUUUUAUCUGUAACUGCAAGAAUAAGACUAACAAAUAAAAGGAAGUAGAAACAUUCAGGAAUUUAAGGAAUCAGGAAACCAUUUUGCAUUACAACUGAAUAUGUUGUACUGCUAACUAUUUUUGAAACAGGACUUGCAAAAAAUUUGUCUAAUGCAAUAUGUUUCAUUUAGGAUCAGCACCAGCACUCCUGAUUUUGGCUGUUCUCAUCUGUCUCCCUCUCCUGGUCAAUGGCAGCAAGUCUACAAUUCGAUAGAGUUUUGACUGGAAUAUUGGGGGCCUACCAUGAGGAAUUACUAUCUUUAUUGUACAUGUAACAGGAAUGUGACUGGCAGCUGGCCUGUGUUCUGAAGGAUAACAGUUUUCAUACCUGAAUAAAUUAGUGGGAGAGUGUGGAUUGCAGUGGUCUUAUAUUUUUCCACAGCUUAACAAAAAGUGCAAUGACUUCGAGAGCUUCAUGGCUGUUCUGCAGACAGAUGCACAAUUGUGAAACAUCAAUAUGGACUGCAAAUCUCUACUGUCAGUCAGCUCCUCUUCCCCUCUGCAUAACGUAAUCCCUAUCUCCACAAUGCCUGCACAGAUACACAUUUGCAAAGAUGUUUUUCUGGAGAUAGCGUGCAUAGCAAACACUCCCUUACUUGUUCUCAUCUCUAGCAACAUUAUACGGAGUUUCAGUUCACAGUUCCCUGUGUUCCCCCUCCUACCACUGAAAUGCAGCCAACUCUGAGCUGCGGCUAUUAAACAUCACACAAGCAACACCACAAAACAGAUUGUGGAAAGCACAGGAAUUCAAAGAAAAGCAACAAAUUGAGUGAGGUCUGGGAAGCGAUAAUAAAGGAUCAUAAGGAAAUGAAUUACUCAUAAUGCAGAAUAGCCAUCACCUCGAUGUCCAGGUUUUACCAGGAUGCAAGGGCAAGUUUUUGAGGGUGGCACAAAGAGGUGUCACUAGGAGCAGUCAGGUUUCAGCCAGGGAGAUAAGCAGGUCAGCUUCCUUAACCACUGAGUUUUGUCAGUCUGUUUCAGAGUCCAAAUGAAAGGGCUGACGGCAUCAUUGCUUGGGGGUUUUAAAGCUAGACAAUUUCAAGACAGGUCAAGGCACUUUCAGGACAGCUGAAUAAAACAAGAUGGAGCACGUACUGUAUCCAUUCCCACUUUGUAUGAGUCUGAGAAAACAGUUGGGAGAAAGAUGGAAAGGUCUGAAGGAACCACAGUACAAAGUUAGAAAACAGUGUGAAUUGGUGUGAUAAUAGCUGUGACAUGGCCGGGGAAAAGCUUCCAAAGACGGUGCUCUUCUUUGACAAGAAGAUCAUCUUCAUGAUGACCUUAAGGUGAGAAAGGAGGGAAAAGGGGAAGAUUGGCAAUGAGUCAGAGGAAAGAUAAAUGUGUCUGAAGGUAUGUAGCCGUUUAUGUGUGUGUGUGUUGCACAACAGAAAUCUCAUUCAGGUCAGAAAAAGCAUUUUAAGUGUCUGCAUCUCAGUUUGCUUACACUAGUGGGUAGAAGAGGGCACUUUGGCACAAAACCUGUACAUGAAUUCUUGCUGCUUUAGGUAAAAUGAUGAGUGGGGAAGGUUGCCAGACACUGUCACUGAGCAUUCAAUGGACAACUAAGAAGCAACUGGAAAAGUCUGUUCCCAACUCAAGUUGCAUAGCAACACUAAAUCGUCAGAUUGCUGUUAUGUCAGUCCCUUACAUUAUCCCCAUUAUUACAGCCAGUUUUAGGAACCACGCAGUAUGAUGUUACUAGCCCACUUCACAGCUGGAUGUGUGACCUUUGUCUCUUGUUGAAUGAUGCCAUGUAACUUACUACAAAGGGGUCUCAAAGUAGUACACCAGAGAGAAAAAUCUUUGAGGAUCCAUCAACACAGACCAUAAGGAGCAAAGGAUGUACCUGUGCAGCAUGGGGCAGGAGAGAGAUCAGGACACAUCAAUAUCCUUAAAGAAGUCUAGUGUCUGCCAAACGUGUCAGGAUGUGUAAUCCCAUCACUUCUCUGAACUGAGUCUUCACUGAUCCAGUUGAAAGCCUGUAUUAAGGGGUGAGCCACAGCUGCUCAUGUGUUUUGAAUGCUUCCAGUGCAUGCUUGUGCUUGGUGUUUGGACCUCUCCUGUGGCCAAUUGCUGCUGUGCAAUUCUAACUUCUAAAUUCUAAACAGCUGUUUGCUGCUUUUCAGUAUAAGCACCUUGUGAGCUGUUUCCUGGUAGAGAUGCUGAAGUAGUAAAGUAGUCACAACAUCAUCAUCCUGUGAUGUUUCAGACACUGCCAGUCUGAAAAAAUACCUAGAAGUCUGUUUCUGUUGCAGGAUGUUUCUAGUAACCUGCAUAGUAUCUUUCCUGGAUGUCUUGUGUAGCACAGCAUCCUCCUCCCUUUUUCAUUCUAUUGCUCCUUCUUUUGCUGGCAUAAGAUCCUGAAAUGCCCCUGCCAUCUCUUUGCAGCCAAGGCAACCAGGGUCACUGGGUACCAAGGUAUGGCUGGAGUUUUAAAGAUGCAAAUAAAGUAAAUGAACUUCUUUACUGCAAAUAUCAGAGUGACAUGGAUUUAGGAUACCAGGUGGAAUGAAAAUUACCUUAUAAGCCUUAUGCACUGGAUGAUGGGGAGAGUGACUUGAUAAGCAAGUAAUUCUUAGUGAUAGAUCUCCUUUCUGAAGAGUGCCUGGUUGUAAACUAUGCCAGCUUUUUCAAGAUCACCGCUGCAAAUUAUGAACCAGCAAACAGACCUCAGAAGGACAAGAUAGAUUGCCUGCUCCCUCUGUAUAUAGUAAUGGAAUUAUUCUGCUUCAUUAAAACAACUGAUGAGAAAAAAGAGCCUCAAGAUUCAGUUCCUCUGUUUUUGUGCCCAGGAUAUAAAGCACAACACCUGGACUGGGACCUACAAGUCACCCUUGCUUAAAAUCAAGGAAACUGAGCUGAGACAAAGUCUAAUACAGCAGACGAUAAACAUUCAUGUAUGACAUUGCUAAAAGACAUCUGAUAGGUGUGGAGUUACCCUUAACAAAGGAGCAUCUCUUUAAUGCAAAAUAGCUUAGGAGUUCUUGUGAAAAUGGAACAACUGUUUGUCUGAUUUUCACCUUUCUUCCCUUUAGUACUCCCCUGAACUGCUGGAUGGGACGCUCCAAAAAGCUUAUUUCCCUCUCCAGGAGAGUGUAUUUUUGAUGUAUCUUGCUUCCCUGUGAGGAUGAGGGAUUUGAGAUCAUUAGUGAGACAGCAGGUGUUGGAGUAGUCACUGGAACCCCCCAGCUUUGUAGCUCAGUCAUCUGGAGGUCCACUCUAAGGAGGGAUUUAUCCAAGGGCCCUGCAGAGCAAGUAAGACUUGUAGCUGCUCUGUAUGUGUCUGUUGACAGUCCUGGCAGUUCAGUGGAGGAGUCAGUAAUGAGUUUUAGGCUGUGUCAGCCGGACUGAAGGGUUUUGUGUAACCCUGCUCUCACAGACUAUCUGGAAGUACAGAUAUGAGAGACGGUUCAAUGGAACCAGUUCAUGUUUGAUAAUUAAUAUGGCUUUUCCUUUUAAACUUAGGCCUUGUAGUUUAUGGUGGAUAGGUCCCCAUUAAUGAGUGGAGGAUAUUUUUGUCUGACUUUACACUAUGGACAGACCUCUGCAUGAUUUCUCUACAUGUAUCUUUAUCAGUUUCAGUCUGUAUGUGUUACCAAGUACCAUCUUUGCAGUGCCUCAGCUUUAUUUGACAAUCUGAGUUUCCUAUGACCUUUGAGGAUAACAUUUUCAGAUUAAAAUGUGCUGAAUAAGGACAAAUG